GAGCUACUCCCUCCGUCCGAAAAUGCUUGUCAUCAAAAUGGAUAGAAGAGGAUGUAUCUAGAUGUAUUUUAGUUUGAGAUACAUUUUUUUUAUUAAUUUUGAUGACAAGUAUUUUCGGACGGAGGGAGUAUAUU
rnacentral:pre_miRNA from 1 species